GACGAACGCUGGCGGCGUGCCUAAUACAUGCAAGUCGAGCGAAUCAAUAGGAGCUUGCUCCUGUUGGUUAGCGGCGGACGGGUGAGUAACACGUGGGCAACCUGCCUGUAAGACUGGGAUAACACCGGGAAACCGGUGCUAAUACCGGAUAAUUCUUUUCUUCUCAUGAGGACAAGUUGAAAGACGGCGCAAGCUGUCACUUACAGAUGGGCCCGCGGCGCAUUAGCUAGUUGGUGAGGUAACGGCUCACCAAGGCGACGAUGCGUAGCCGACCUGAGAGGGUGAUCGGCCACACUGGGACUGAGACGCGGCCCAGACUCCUACGGGAGGCAGCAGUAGGGAAUCUUCCGCAAUGGACGAAAGUCUGACGGAGCAACGCCGCGUGAGUGAUGAAGGCCUUCGGGUCGUAAAACUCUGUUGUUAGGGAAGAACAAGUAUCGGAGUAACUGCCGGUACCUUGACGGUACCUAACCAGAAAGCCACGGCUAACUCUGUGCCAGCCGCCGCCGUAAUAC
rnacentral:rRNA from 1 species